AGUGAACGCUGGCGGUAGGCCUAACACAUGCGAGUCGAACGGCAGCACAGUAAGAGCUUGCUCUUACGGGUGGCGAGUGGCGGACGGGUGAGGAAUACAUCGGAAUCUACUUUUUCGUGGGGGAUAACGUAGGGAAACUUACGCUAAUACCGCAUACGACCUACGGGUGAAAGCAGGGGAUCUUCGGACCUUGCGCGAUUGAAUGAGCCGAUGUCGGAUUAGCUAGUUGGCGGGGUAAAGGCCCACCAAGGCGACGAUCCGUAGCUGGUCUGAGAGGAUGAUCCGCCACACUGGAACUGAGACACGCUCCAGACUCCUACGGGAGGCAGCAGUGGGGAAUAUUUGACAAUGGGCGCAAGCCUGAUCCAGCCAUACCGCGUGGGUGAAGAAGGCCUUCGGGUUGUAAAGCCCUUUUGUUGGGAAAGAAAAGCAGCAGGUUAAUACCCCGCUGUUCUGACGGUACCCAAAGAAUAAGCACCGGCUAACUUCGUG
rnacentral:rRNA from 1 species